rnacentral:rRNA from 1 species
CCUACGGGUGGCAGCAGUGGGGAAUAUUGCGCAAUGGGCGAAAGCCUGACGCAGCGACGCCGCGUGAGGGAUGACGGUCUUCGGAUCGUAAACCUCUGUCAGCAGGGAAGAACGGUCACUGUGCUAAUCAGCAGUGAAUUGACGGUACCUGCAAAGGAAGCACCGGCUAACUCCGUGCCAGCAGCCGCGGUAAUACGGAGGGUGCGAGCGUUAAUCGGAGUUACUGGGCGUAAAGCGCUCGUAGGCGGUAUGUCAAGUCAAGGGUGAAAUCCCCGCGCUCAACGUGGGAACUGCAUUUGAAACUGGCAAACUGGAGUGUGUGUGAGGAUAGUGGAAUUCCAGGUGUAGGAGUGAAAUGCGUAGAUAUCUGGAGGAACAUCAGUGGCGAAGGCGACUAUCUGGCACAUAACUGACGCUGAGGAGCGAAAGCGUGGGUAGCAAACAGGAUUAGAUACCCUGGUAGUC